UGGGGAAUAUUGGACAAUGGGCGCAAGCCUGAUCCAGCCAUGCCGCGUGAGUGAUGAAGGCCUUAGGGUUGUAAAGCUCUUUCAGUGGGGAAGAUAAUGACGGUACCCACAGAAGAAGCCCCGGCUAACUUCGUGCCAGCAGCCGCGGUAAUACGAAGGGGGCUAGCGUUGUUCGGAUUUACUGGGCGUAAAGCGCACGUAGGCGGAUUGGUCAGUUAGGGGUGAAAUCCCAGAGCUCAACUCUGGAACUGCCCUUAAUACUGCCAGUCUAGAGUCCGGAAGAGGUAAGUGGAACUCCUAGUGUAGAGGUGGAAUUCGUAGAUAUUAGGAAGAACACCAGUGGCGAAGGCGGCUUACUGGUCCGGUACUGACGCUGAGGUGCGAAAGCGUGGGGAGCAAACAGG
rnacentral:rRNA from 2 species